UAGAUGGCCUCGGUACCUCAAUGUCUCUUGACUAGGUCCUCAUUCCUUAUCUCGACUAACAACCUCUCCAUUAUAUCACCCCUUCCUUUGCUCGAUGAUGCCAUACGCCUGUUCAUCUUCUUCACCAUCUAUAUAACCUCCCCUUCUCUCAUUCAUCUUUGACUAUCUAACGCCUUCGACCAACUGCUUCCCUCACCACCUCCACCGUAUUCUUUCUCUCAAUCUCAAAGCAUACUCCUUUUUAUCCCAUCAAUUUAUCGGUCUCGAUCUUAGAUUGGUUGGAUCAUACAAAUGAUAGUGCAAUAGUGAGGCUAAAGUAAGCAUCAAUCAUUGAACCCCCACCACAAGGCCAAGCGAAAAGCAUAUUAGGGUUCCUAUGAUUUGAUGAAGAUGGAAAAAAUGGUUUAUUCUCACAAUCGAGCCCUAAAUCAAUAUGGAAUCAAGCUUAUUUUUUUACUUUGUCAUUUGCAGUUCCAUCUCUCUUCAACUCUCACAUAACAAUGUCGAUCAUUAAGGUUUAAAUCACCUCCCUCCUAGAUUACAACAAGGAUCAAACAAGAAUCAAGCAAGGCAAAAGUUGAUUCAAAAGCCAUUUACUCACUAAAGUUAUGUUUCAUUUCAUAUUCUAAUCUAUAUGUUAUGUAUACAUUUGUUUUGUGUAUUAGUUCUAUUUUUAUUAGAUUCUCAGAUUUUGUAGGUUCUUCAACCUUUAUGAUUGAUGGUGAAGUUUUUUUUUUCAAGUUAUGUCGAGUCUUAUAUAGCUUGCUUCAAUCUUUUCCUCUAAAAAAUGUGAAAUCUGCAAGUUCAUUGAAUAUUAGUUCCAUCUCCAUCAUCAUUUCACAAAAACAAAUCCAAUGGGCUAUUUAAUUUCAGUGUUCAAUGGAAUAGAAUGGGUUAUUCCAUUGAAAUGAAAAAAACAUCUAUUUUUGAGUUUGUUUUCUUCUUUAGGGUAUGUGAUUUGGGUUUUGUUCUCAUAUUAUGUGGUUUGGGUGUUAACUUUCAUAUGGGUAUCAAAAUUACUGUUUAGUUUUGAUUUUAUAAUUGUUUAAGGUUAAUACAAUUAAAUGGGCUAUCUAAGGACAAAGCGAGUUUACUAAAGUAAGCUUUUACAUAAGCUCUCUCUCUCUCUCUCUCUCUCUCUCUCUCUACUACCUGAUGCAUUAUCUAAGGCCAAAGCAACUUUACUAAAGUGUAAGGAGCUUGUAGUAAAGAUAAAGGAAGAUCCCCUUUCUAAGCCUAAAAUCUACCAUCUAUUGGAAGCAUAAAAAGCUGGUGAAGUUUUUUGUUUGUUUUGUGUAUUAGUUCUGUUUUUAUUAGAUUCUCAGAUUUUGUAGGUUCUUCAAACUUUAUGAUUGAUGGUGAAGUUUUUUGUUUUUUUUCAAGUUAUGUUGAGUCUUAUAUAGCUUGCUUCAAUCUUUUCCUCUAAAAAAAUGUGAAAUCUGCAAGUUCAUUGAAUAUUAGUUUCAUCUCCAUCAUCAUUUCACAAAAACAAAUCCAAUGGGUUAUUUAUUUUCAGUGUUCAGUGGAAUAGAAUGGGUUAUUCCAUUGAAAUGAAAAAAAAACAUUUGUUUUUGAGUUUGUUUUCUUCUUUAGGGUAUGUGAUUUGGGUUUUGUUCUCAUAUUAUGUGGUUUGGGUGUUAACUUUCAUAUGGGUAUCAAAAUUACUGUUUAGUUUUGAUUUUAUAAUUGUUUAAGGUUAAUACAAUUAAAUGGGCUAUCUAAGGACAAAGCGAGUUUACUAAAGUAAGCUUUUACAUAAGCUCUCUCUCUCUCUCUCUCUCUCUCUCUCUCUCUCCCUCCCUCCUGAUGCAUUAUCUAAGGCCAAAGCAACUUUACUAAAGUGUAAGGAGCUUGCAGGAAAAGAUAAAAGAAGAUCCCCUUUCUAAGCCUAAAAUCUACCAUCUAUUGGAAGCAUAAAAAGCUGGUAAAAGGAGUUCAGAAGUCUUGAACUACGGUUACUAAUUUCUCACAGUUUGUGUUUUUUGUUUUUCUGCAACAUUUUUAGAAGUUGUCAUUGCACAUUCAAGGUAAGCAACAAUUUCUAGAGAUUAUUUGGUUAUUGUGGCUGUAGAGAUGACUGAGGGACAUGAUUCAUGGUUAAACUCAUAAACAUCUUCCCAUCAAUGUUAAUUUCAUCUUGAUUUCUCAUGUAUUUGUGUUUUAUAUAUCAUAUAGAGAUUACUUUGGUUUAUUAUUUUAGGUUGCAUAAAUAAAUGAUUAUGUUGUUUUGUCGUUGUU